GUUUUUCUGACUGAUAUUUAAGUCUGUGAGGAAAGGCUUUGCUGUGUUUCCUCUGCAGAGAAAGUGCCCAGCUUUCAGAAGAAUUGAACUAUAGUAAAUGGCAGAGAGUCUAGCACAAUUAAGUAUUUCUAAACCAGGACUGAAAAUGAAGAAAUGAUCACCAUAGAGGAAACAAAAUCAGAGAGGAUAGGAAACCUGUCCAAAGUCAUAUGGCUGAUAAGAGGCAGAGUGAAGACUGGACCUGAGCAAGUUUGGUGUAGAAGCCUGUGCUCUUAACUGCCAUCCUAGAUUCUUUCUUAAGACUUCUUCUGAGGAUCAGCCUCAUACAAAAGGGUAAUGGUGGCAGCAGCUCCAGAACUCAUAUCAUAUCCUCCCAUGUUAAAGUCAAAUGAGAAAAGUCUGUCUUCGCCCCAGGAUUCCCAGCGAUGCCUCCUGAUGUGUCAUUGGCUCGGAUUGCAUCAUGUGCCCUCCGUGGACUUUGUCCAGAUGAAUGUUUUAGAUUCCUUGUCCCCAGUUACCUCAUCUUUAAAAUGAAGACAAGACUCAGAGUUGGCUUUCCAGACCUAAGCUUCAUGUUCUGCCUGUGUGAUUCUGUCUUCACGAUUCUCAUGUUCAAUUACCAAUACUCAAUUCUGUCUUCUACUAAGUAUGUACAGCUCUAAAAGACACACCUCAGUAUGGGCAAUGUUCUCUUAAACUGUGAUAUCCAAAGCAACUUGUCUUUGCUAAAUGAGUACACUUAGCUUGUUUGGAAGAAACUGUCAUUUUACUCUCUAAAGCUUACUUCAUAGGA
rnacentral:lncRNA from 1 species